rnacentral:rRNA from 1 species
AUCCGGAUUCACUGGGUUUAAAGGGUGCGUAGGUGGGUUUGUAAGUCAGUGGUGAAAUCUCCAGGCUUAACCUGGAAACUGCCAUUGAUACUAUAGAUCUUGAAUUUUCUGGAGGUAAGCGGAAUAUGUCAUGUAGCGGUGAAAUGCUUAGAUAUGACAUAGAACACCAAUUGCGAAGGCAGCUUGCUACAGGAAUAUUGACACUGAGGCACGAAAGCGUGGGGAUCAAACAGG